UACAGGGGGUGCAAACGUUGCUCGGAAUCACUGGGCGUAAAGGGCGCGUAGGCGGCCAACUAAGUCGGACGUGAAAUCCCUCAGCUUAACUGGGGAACUGCGUCCGAUACUGGAUGGCUUGGAUUUGGGAGAGGGAUGCGGAAUUCCAGGUGUAGCGGUGAAAUGCGUAGAUAUCUGGAGGAACACCGGUGGCGAAGGCGGCAUCCUGGACCAAUAUUGACGCUGAGGAGCGAAAGCCAGGGGAGCAAACGGG
rnacentral:rRNA from 1 species